rnacentral:rRNA from 1 species
UAGCAAGGUUAACCGAAUAGGGGAGCCGGAGGGAAACCGAGUCUUAAUUGGGCGUUAAGUUGCAGGGUAUAGACCCGAAACCCGGUGAUCUAGCCAUGGGCAGGUUGAAGGUUGGGUAACACUAACUGGAGGACCGAACCGACUAAUGUUGAAAAAUUAGCGGAUGACCUGUGGCUGGGGGUGAAAGGCCAAUCAAACCGGGAGAUAGCUGGUUCUCCCCGAAAGCUAUUUAGGUAGCGCCUCGUGAACUCAUCUCCGGGGGUAGAGCACUGUUUCGGCUAGGGGGCCAUCCCGGCUUACCAACCCGAUGCAAACUGCGAAUACCGGAGAAUGUUAUCACGGGAGACACACGGCGGGUGCUAACGUCCGUCGUGAAGAGGGAAACAACCCAGACCGCCAGCUAAGGUCCCAAAGUCAUGGUUAAGUGGGAAACGAUGUGGGAAGGCCCAGACAGCCAGGAUGUUGGCUUAGAAGCAGCCAUCAUUUAAAGAAAGCGUAAUAGCUCACUGGUCGAGUCGGCCUGCGCGGAAGAUGUAACGGGGCUAAACCAUGCACCGAAGCUGCGGCAGCGACGCUCAGGCGUUGUUGGGUAGGGGAGCGUUCUGUAAGCCUGUGAAGGUGGCCUGUGAGGGUUGCUGGAGGUAUCAGAAGUGCGAAUGCUGACAUAAGUAACGAUAAAGCGGGUGAAAAGCCCGCUCGCCGGAAGACCAAGGGUUCCUGUCCAACGUUAAUCGGGGCAGGGUGAGUCGACCCCUAAGGCGAGGCCGAAAGGCGUAGUCGAUGGGAAACGGGUUAAUAUUCCCGUACUUGGUGUUACUGCGAAGGGGGGACGGAGAAGGCUAUGUUGGCCGGGCGACGGUUGUCCCGGUUUAAGCGUGUAGGUGUGUGUUCCAGGUAAAUCCGGUUCACUUUAACACUGAGGCGUGACGACGAGGCACUACGGUGCUGAAGCAACAAAUGCCCUGCUUCCAGGAAAAGCCUCUAAGCAUCAGGUAACAUCAAAUCGUACCCCAAACCGACACAGGUGGUCAGGUAGAGAAUACCAAGGCGCUUGAGAGAACUCGGGUGAAGGAACUAGGCAAAAUGGUGCCGUAACUUCGGGAGAAGGCACGCUGACACGUAGGUGAAGUGAUUUACUCAUGGAGCUGAAGUCAGUCGAAGAUACCAGCUGGCUGCAACUGUUUAUUAAAAACACAGCACUGUGCAAACACGAAAGUGGACGUAUACGGUGUGACGCCUGCCCGGUGCCGGAAGGUUAAUUGAUGGGGUCAGCGCAAGCGAAGCUCCUGAUCGAAGCCCCGGUAAACGGCGGCCGUAACUAUAACGGUCCUAAGGUAGCGAAAUUCCUUGUCGGGUAAGUUCCGACCUGCACGAAUGGCGUAAUGAUGGCCAGGCUGUCUCCACCCGAGACUCAGUGAAAUUGAACUCGCUGUGAAGAUGCAGUGUACCCGCGGCAAGACGGAAAGACCCCGUGAACCUUUACUAUAGCUUGACACUGAACAUUGAGCCUUGAUGUGUAGGAUAGGUGGGAGGCUUUGAAGCGUGGACGCCAGUCUGCGUGGAGCCGACCUUGAAAUACCACCCUUUAAUGUUUGAUGUUCUAACGUGGACCCGUUACCCGGGUUGCGGACAGUGUCUGGUGGGUAGUUUGACUGGGGCGGUCUCCUCCUAAAGAGUAACGGAGGAGCACGAAGGUUGGCUAAUCCUGGUCGGACAUCAGGAGGUUAGUGCAAUGGCAUAAGCCAGCUUGACUGCGAGCGUGACGGCGCGAGCAGGUGCGAAAGCAGGUCAUAGUGAUCCGGUGGUUCUGAAUGGAAGGGCCAUCGCUCAACGGAUAAAAGGUACUCCGGGGAUAACAGGCUGAUACCGCCCAAGAGUUCAUAUCGACGGCGGUGUUUGGCACCUCGAUGUCGGCUCAUCACAUCCUGGGGCUGAAGUAGGUCCCAAGGGUAUGGCUGUUCGCCAUUUAAAGUGGUACGCGAGCUGGGUUUAGAACGUCGUGAGACAGUUCGGUCCCUAUCUGCCGUGGGCGCUGGAGAACUGAGGGGGGCUGCUCCUAGUACGAGAGGACCGGAGUGGACGCAUCACUGGUGUUCGGGUUGUCAUGCCAAUGGCACUGCCCGGUAGCUAAAUGCGGAAGAGAUAAGUGCUGAAAGCAUCUAAGCACGAAACUUGCCCCGA